rnacentral:lncRNA from 1 species
GCUAUUUAUACAGUCACAUGUUACACUUAAACGAAUACUAAAUAUGCACACAGAAGAUGGAUAAUCGAUCUCACAUUUAUUUAUAUUCAUAAUGUCUUACGAUUGUUAAACAUGCCGUACAUAGUUUAAAAUAUGCUGUGAUAAGAAACACACCAGGCACAUGUUUAUACAUCGACCUAUACAUUGACUUACUUUAAAAGUGGACUACGGCCG